CUAACAUCACACUUGGAGAGCAGAACCUGAGAAGGAAACUCAGGGUAUUGCAGUGCAUUGGUGGCUGUUGUCAUGUUCAGGGGUUUCAGGCCUAAGUUAGCCAGUUUCUUAUUGAAAGUUACUCAUGUUUGACUGCUACUAUUUUAUUGCAUCCCAUAGGAUCACUACUACAAAGGAGAAGUUUGCCAGCAGUUUGUUACCGGAGAGCUCUCUAACAUCAGCAUGGAAGGGGGAACAAGACUACGUCAGCCCAUUUCCAGGUCCGCAAGAGGCCAGUGUCAAGCCACGCAGGAUGCAAAAAGGGCUCCCGCUCAGACACAAAUGACUGUUUUCAGGCUAACACUACCACCACAAAGUUGCUAAGAAGAUGCUGUCAGUAGCUAUGAAAGCCUUUCCCACAACCUUCAGCUUUAUUCAGCUCCUGAGCAAACAGAAUGGCAGAGAAGAUGAGAAAAAUCAUAUUUACAAGAGAAAAAAAAAAUAACUUACUUUGGGAUUUUAUUUCAUGAAGAGGUUUUUUAUCUGAGAGAGAGAGAGAGAGAGAGAGAGAAAGUUGCACUUAAUAAAUUUACAUGGAGCAU